AGCGCCGAGUUCAUAUAGCUGCGAUAGCUGUGACGCAAUGCUGACGUCUCUCAAUAUGGCGGAAGCUGUGAGAGUGAAGUUAGCAGUUGAUGCUGAGUGGAAAUUUGCUGUAUAGAGGCUUAUGGAGGCUGACUGAGCAUUAACAUUGCCCUUAUGAGACUUAACGUGCUACCUGGAUAAAUUGCUUAAGCUAGCUAGUUUGGCGUCCAUAUUGGCCAGUUGCCUAGCAGCAGUGAUUCUUCUUUCUGCUUCUUUACUGUAGGCAUAUAUCUGUGGGGCUAAAAAUGUAAUGCUUUUUUUCCUUUUCUGUAUACAUAUAUAGUCAGGUCCAUAAAUAUUUGGACAUUGACAAAAAGUCAAAGACUGCCUGAGGUCUGGAACCGAAAGACGUUACCAGAUGCUGGGUUUCUUCCCUGGUGAUGCUCUGCGGGGAUCUGCAACCAGUGUGGUCUCACUGCAAGUCUCACGCUGCUGGUGGUGAAACAUGGGAGAGUGGCUGAAUGGAGUGCAGGCUGAGCUGGAGAUGGAGAGGCAGGAGAUCUUCAUGUGCAAAGUGAUGCUGAGGAAAAGUGAACAGGAGUUAUAACACAUUCAACAGGCCAGGCUUGCGCUGACAAGGAGGAUGUCAUCCAGCCAGGCCAGGUCAUGCUGGGAGAAGACAAGGUCGAGCAUCUUUCUCACCACCAUCAGUCCCAGGAUCUGGAAUUAGGACACAACCAUUUCAUCUUAAAAUUCUUCAGUUUGAUAAGAUGUUUAAAUAUUGAAUAGACCAACAAGCUGAAAAUGACAAAAUAGCAUCUCACAAGUAUUUCCAUACAAUGAUUUUCCAUUAUCUAGGUCAUGUUAGAUGGCAAAUUGUUGAAGAUGUUUUGCCUUUCAUCUGAAAUCCAGUCACCCUGACUUAUGUCAUGGUGUGUGUAAAUCUAAUUGUGGUUUUGCUGCUGUUAUUAGUUAAAAAAAAAAAAAGUUAGUUUAGUUUAAUCUCUCUCUCUCUCUCUCUCUCUCUCUCUCUCUCUCUCUCCUUCCUACAAUUAUCUUGUACAACCAUCUGGGCACCUUUUGGAAAUUAUUGGCACCUUUAACAUGUAACCUGUAUGCUUAGAUUGUAUUCUGCUAAAUGGCUAAAUGUAAAUGGUAACUACCUAUGACAAGUGGAGUAAUAUGAAAGGAGAGAAAAUUAUACCAGUUGGAUGACUUCUACUUGACAUCAAAUACAAUACCAAUGUAUUCUUUUUUUUCUAAUGUACAGUAAUUCAGGAAUCUGGAGGACAGAAAAAAGCAUAGCUAUUACCAUGACA